rnacentral:rRNA from 1 species
UACAGGGGGGGCAAGCGUUGUUCGGAAUUACUGGGCGUAAAGCGCACGUAGGCGGCUUUGUAAGUUAGAGGUGAAAGCCCAGGGCUCGACCCUGGAAUUGCCUUUAAGACUGCAUCGCUUGAACAUCGGAGAGGUAAGUGGAAUUCCGAGUGUAGAGGUGAAAUUCGUAGAUAUUCGGAAGAACACCAGUGGCGAAGGCGACUUACUGGACGAUUGUUGACGCUGAGGUGCGAAAGCGUGGGGAGCAAACAGG